AUAUGCAUGAAAAUGAAGUAGUUGGGUCCAACGCCCCUAAGACAACACACCUUAAUGUGAUUAAACGCGUAACUAAAAUUAAUCACCAUCCCUAGACCGAGAUUCAACACAAGGCUCAUGUUGAAUCUAAACAAAGGUUCAUAAUCAUCCUUAGGCCCUAAGGCAACUAUAUCCAUCAAAUGAAUGCAAAGUUUAUGUUAGUAGUAUCAUAUACUCUUGCUUUAAAAAUCGUUUUAUAAGCAUAGUGGGAGUAUUAUGUACAACUAAAACAAUGAGAUGGACCAAUAGUUGUAAUAGGACCAAAAUUGUUUUAAUAUAGAUUAAAAUGAAUAUUUAUAUGUGAUGAGACCUAAAACCCUCAACCAAACUAAUAUUAAGUUGAUAAGCGAGAGAUGUUUAGAAUAUCUCUUCGUGGCCUUCCACCGUGGUGGGAUCCAAUCGUUUAUGACUUGUACACUGGCUUCACCCUAUCAUGGGGGAGUACAAAGUGCAUGCUUAUACUCAGGAGGAAUCCAUAUACAUAUGAUGAGGUUGGUGUAGGCAACGAGGAUGGCCGACAUCGUAUCAUCGUGAGGCUAUUCUUGAACCCCUUCACGAAGUAAGCAUGGUGGGAAUGACUUAACUAAGUGAAAUGGAGCCAACAUCAUAUCAUUGUGAGGUGACAUUCUCUAGAGGCCAAAUAAGAUG
rnacentral:lncRNA from 1 species